rnacentral:rRNA from 1 species
AUGUGUAGCCAAGGUUCAGUGGACCACCAACUUGUCGACUUGCAAACUCAUGGGCUUUUCUCGGUACAAUUCCUGAAUCAUCUGCUGUUUCAAUUUCAAAUGCUUGCAAGGCUGAAAUCUUCCUCUGUGAUGGCAUCAAGUGGCUUGUCCCAGGAGAAUCUUUAUCGCCUACGGAUCAGCUUGCCUUGGUUUCGCUCUGAACAUGAAGGACGAUCAGAAGAAAGAUAUGGCAAAAGGGAGUUGAUCUGUGCCGGGGUUCGUCUCCUUAGCUUGCCUUGGUUGCGCUCGGAACAUGGAGGACAAUCAGAAGAAAGAUAG